UGUCCCCAGCAAUGAAGGCAGCGAUGCUGAGGCCAGUGUGGACGACCAACAGCCCACCGCCGCGUAUGGUUGGGGCAGGGAGCCCAGAUACUCUGCUGAGGAGCUGCCAUCGCGUGUAACAAAUGUGGAGGAAGAAGAUGCGUCAGCAGCUGCGUCCGACAGAAGACGAGUAGCUUGGCCACCAGAAUCUCGAUUCGUUUGGGACUCCGACUGGUGCGAGCGUGGACAAAAGUGUAUAGCCAUGCCCAGCCCGCGGGAAUGAUUUUGCUGGUAGGAUGCUGCCGUCGCUGUCGACAAGACGGCCCAAGGUUUCUUGCGUAGCGGACCUCGCAGAUUACGAGAUCGUAUCCUUGCAUUAGGCUGUGCUCAUCACUGCUCUUCGAGGUUAUCUCGACAUGCAGAAGCCGCCAAUGCCAGUGACAGAAGAGUCUGACAUUAGAUCUCUACGCUAUGCGGCACACAGGCAGUACACACUAUGUACACGGCAAAUUGGGCAAGCACGUUCGUUGUCGUCUUCCAGCCUGCGUUGUGAAUACCAUCAGGCAAAGAUAUCCAAAUCCUGCACCACCUCAGCCUUCUCAGGAGGCUUCCACCUGGAAUUUGGCAGGGAAACACGCUUCUCCAAGGCAGGAACAUGGAGGUUGCCAUUUGCAACCGCUACCACCUCACACAUGAGCUUGUCAACAUACUCAUAGCUCUUUCUGUCGUAUAAUUUUCUAUUUGGCCACAGUCUUCUUUAUGCUUUGAGAACUGGACUUUAUACCUUCC